rnacentral:rRNA from 1 species
GAUGGACGCUGGCGGCGUGCUUAACACAUGCAAGUCGAACGGAAAGGCUCCUGCUUGCCGGGGUACUCGAGUGGCGCACGGGUGAGUAACACGUGGGUGAUCUGCCCUGCACUUCGGGAUAAGCCUGGGAAACUGGGUCUAAUACCGGAUAGGACGAUGGUUUGGAUGCCAUUGUGGAGAGUUUUUUCGGUUUGGGGUGAGCUCGCGGCGUAUCCGCUUGUUGGUGGGUUAAUGGCCUACCAAGGCGUCGACGGGUAGCCGGCCGGUGAGGGUGAACGGCGACAUUGGAACUGAGACACGGUCCAGACUCCUACGGGAGGCAGCAGUAAGGAAGAUUGCGCAAUGGGAGAAAGCCUGAAGCAGCAACGCCGCGUGAGGGACGAAGGGCUUUUGCUUGUAAACCUCUGUAGUGAGAGAAAAAAAUCCCAAUCUUUGGGACAUGAUGGUAUCUCAAAAGUAAGCCCCGGCUAACUACGUG